rnacentral:lncRNA from 1 species
UAGGUCACCGUGCUUGUUUUCGAGAUAUCAGCCAUUGAAAUUUUGGCGGGAAAACAUUCUCUCUUGACUUUUCAUAGCUUUAUCAUUGACAAGUUCAAGUUCUGAAAAACUGUUAAAAAGUAAUUAUAUAAGACUUUUACCGAUGCCUUAUCAUUAUACAUGUAAAAGAUUUACAAAAAGAAAAAUGGGGGUAACCGGGCAAAUUUUU